rfam:Ictidomys tridecemlineatus contig000689, whole genome shotgun sequence.
UGGGUUGUAGCUCAGUGGUAGAGCACUUGCCUUGUGCGUGUGAGGCCCUGGGUUCAACCCUCAGCACCACAU